rnacentral:misc_RNA from 1 species
AUGUGUUCAAUUGAAAAAAUUUUAGUGUCAAUAGUUUUGUUCACCAUUUUACGAUUGGAAACAUAUCUUUGUGCAAAAAACAAUAGCAAAAUCAUAAUGGCGGAUGCUAAGGAAAAUUAUAAAUUCUUGAUAACCGGCGGUUAUCGUCCUAAGAUAGAUACUUUGGCAAAAUAUGUUGUCUCCAUACGGGGAAGCAAACACAAAUGGUUUUUUGGAGAUGAUCACAAAUGUGGCGGCUCCAUAAUCUCACCCAAAGUUAUUCUGACCGCAGCACAUUGUGUCUGUAGGCGCCACAGCCGAAUACGGCUGAAACCGUCAGAUUUAACGGUCGUGGCGGGAACCCCGAAGCGUUUGGUACCAACUGAAACAACACAAGUCUUAAAAGUUGAUAAAAUUAUACGACACGUCUACUACAAGCCUUUAACUUUUCGAAAUGAUAUUGGUAUAUUGUUGUUGGUAAAAAAUAUAUAUGAAGACGGCGUUGCCGUGCAGAGGAUUAGUUUGCAAACCCACCCAUUACCGCCUUAUACUAAAUGCACCGUGCUUGGCUGGGGUCGAAUUUUUUUCAGGGGCCCGAUGCCAGAUGUAAUAUUACAUGUGGAUGUCUAUAUAUUGCCAGACAAUUACUGUGACGCUAGAACUGACAAAUAUGCUUUUGGCAUGAUGUGUGCUGGCGAUUUGGAUGAUCCUGAGAAAGAUUCGUGCAGUGGUGAUUCGGGUGGUCCGCUGAUAUGUAAUGGCAGUGUAACGGGCAUUGUAUCAUUUGGCGUUAAAUGUGGUAUACCCGAACAUGCCGGUUAUUACACCGAUGUGACUUCGUAUCUUGAUUGGAUUCGUGCGAACGGUUUCAGUAAAUUGAGACCUGUAAAUUUGAUUUUGCUAGUUGUAUUACAAAUUCUCUUAAUGAAAGGUGUGUGAAGCGCAUAACUGACAAUUACAUAGAAAAUUAACGGUUGUUGUUAUUGCAACAGUUAAAUUAAACUAAGUUUUAUGAGAAAAGAGUUUUUAUGUGUCAGAAGAGGAGUCAGGAAUGCAGAGUUGACAACGUUUUAAUGCAGGUGAGCGUGUUGAGUAAAGCGAGAUCGACUUAAUGUUUCACCGAACCAGUAUCGGACAGGUUGUUACCGAAGUCAAUUAGAUGACGACAGUUGCUGUCUUCGUCUAAUAGCAAGCUUCAAAGGCACAACGUACAUUAAUAAUUUAUACAAUAGAAUAAUAAAUAUUCUUAUAGUUAAUAUAAACAGUGUAAGUACAUUUGUA